CUUCAGGCGACAUCUACGGAGUGCAUUUGCAGGAGAAUCCAGCAAGUUUUCGAGAAGCAGUACAAGUCCUUCUGUUAGCCGUUCUUUGCUUGGAAAUUUUGAGGAAUCCUUGUUAAAAGGUAGAUUUGCACCAUCAGGAAGAAUCGAUGGUUUUACAGCUGAACUUGGAGCAAGUGGAUCAUACUGCCCGCAGCAUGUAACGCUACCUGUGGAUGUAUCUUACUAUAAUAUUUCUGAACACAGUGCCCCAUCACCGUUCCUGGGUGUCAUAAAUCUGGAAUCUUUGGGAAGGAAGGGUUACAAUGUCCCCAAAACAGGAACCAUUCAAGUGGUGAGUUUAGUGAUCUUACCUUUAACCCCUG